rnacentral:rRNA from 1 species
AGAGUUUGAUCCUGGCUCAGGAUGAACGCUAGCGGCAGGCUUAACACAUGCAAGUCGAGGGGUAUAGGUUUUCGGAUCUAGAGACCGGCGCACGGGUGCGUAACGCGUAUGCAAUCUACCUUUUACAGAGGGAUAGCCCAGAGAAAUUUGGAUUAAUACCUCAUAGUAUUAUGAAAUGGCAUCAUUUUAUAAUUAAAGUCACAACGGUAAAAGAUGAGCAUGCGUCCCAUUAGCUAGUUGGUAAGGUAACGGCUUACCAAGGCAACGAUGGGUAGGGGUCCUGAGAGGGAGAUCCCCCACACUGGUACUGAGACACGGACCAGACUCCUACGGGAGGCAGCAGUGAGGAAUAUUGGACAAUGGGCGCAAGCCUGAUCCAGCCAUGCCGCGUGCAGGAUGACGGUCCUAUGGAUUGUAAACUGCUUUUGUACGAGAAGAAACACUACUUCGUGAAGUAGCUUGACGGUAUCGUAAGAAUAAGGAUCGGCUAACUCCGUGCCAGCAGCCGCGGUAAUACGGAGGAUCCAAGCGUUAUCCGGAAUCAUUGGGUCUAAAGGGUCCGUAGGCGGUUUAGUAAGUCAGUGGUGAAAGCCCAUCGCUCAACGGUGGAACGGCCAUUGAUACUGCUAGACUUGAAUUAUUAGGAAGUAACUAGAAUAUGUAGUGUAGCGGUGAAAUGCUUAGAGAUUACAUGGAAUACCAAUUGCGAAGGCAGGUUACUACUAAUUGAUUGACGCUGAUGGACGAAAGCGUGGGUAGCGAACAGGAUUAGAUACCCUGGUAGUCCACGCCGUAAACGA